rnacentral:rRNA from 1 species
AUUGAACGCUGGCGGCAUGCCUUACACAUGCAAGUCGAACGGCAGCGGACCUUCGGGUGCCGGCGAGUGGCGAACGGGUGAGUAAUAUAUCGGAACGUACCUUUCAGUGGGGGAUAACGUAGCGAAAGUUACGCUAAUACCGCAUAUUCUGUGAGCAGGAAAGCAGGGGAUCGCAAGACCUUGCGCUGAUUGAGCGGCCGAUAUCAGAUUAGCUAGUUGGUGAGGUAAAGGCUCACCAAGGCGACGAUCUGUAGCGGGUCUGAGAGGAUGAUCCGCCACACUGGAACUGAGACACGGUUCAGACUCCUACGGGAGGCAGCAGUGGGGAAUUUUGGACAAUGGGCGCAAGCCUGAUCCAGCCAUGCCGCGUGAGUGAAGAAGGCCUCGG